GAUGAACGCUGGCGGCGUGCCUAAUACAUGCCAGUCGAGCGAACAGAUGAGGAGCUUGCUCCUCUGACGUUAGCGGCGGACGGGUGAGUAACACGUGGAUAACCUACCUAUAAGACUGGGAUAACUUCGGGAAACCGGAGCUAAUACCGGAUAAUAUAUUGAACCGCAUGGUUCAAUAGUGAAAGACGGUUUUGCUGUCACUUAUAGAUGGAUCCGCGCCGCAUUAGCUAGUUGGUAAGGUAACGGCUUACCAAGGCAACGAUGCGUAGCCGACCUGAGAGGGUGAUCGGCCACACUGGAACUGAGACACGGUCCAGACUCCUACGGGAGGCAGCAGUAGGGAAUCUUCCGCAAUGGGCGAAAGCCUGACGGAGCAACGCCGCGUGAGUGAUGAAGGUCUUCGGAUCGUAAAACUCUGUUAUUAGGGAAGAUCAAAUGUGUAAGUAACUAUGCACGUCUUGACGGUACCUAAUCAGAAAGCCACGGCUAACUACGUG
rnacentral:rRNA from 1 species